rnacentral:rRNA from 1 species
UCACCCUGUGACAUACCUAAACGUUGCUUCGGCGGGAACAGACGGCCCCGUGAAACGGGCCGCCCCCGCCAGAGGACCCCUAACUCUGUUUCUAUAAUGUUUCUUCUGAGUAAAACAAGCAAAUAAAUUAAAACUUUCAACAACGGAUCUCUUGGCUCUGGCAUCGAUGAAGAACGCAGCGAAAUGCGAUAAGUAAUGUGAAUUGCAGAAUUCAGUGAAUCAUCGAAUCUUUGAACGCACAUUGCGCCCGCCAGUAUUCUGGCGGGCAUGCCUGUUCGAGCGUCAUUACAACCCUCAGGCCCCCGGGCCUGGCGUUGGGGAUCGGCGGAGCCCCCCGUGGGCACACGCCGUCCCCCAAAUACAGUGGCGGUCCCGCCGCAGCUUCCAUCGCGUAGUAGCUAACACCUCGCGACUGGAGAGCGGCGCGGCCACGCCGUAAAACACCCAACUCUUCUGAAGUUGACCUCGAAUCAGGUAGGAAUACCCGCUGAACUUAAGCAUAUCAAA